AUGCAAGUCGACGGAACGAUGGGAGCUUGCUCCCAGGCGUCGAGUGGCGGACGGGUGAGUAAUACUUAGGAAUCUGCCCAUUAGUGGGGGACAACUAGAAGAAAUUCUAGCUAAUACCGCAUACGCCCUACGGGGGAAAGCGGGGGAUCUUCGGACCUCGCGCUAAUGGAUGAGCCUAAGUCGGAUUAGCUUGUUGGUGAGGUAAUGGCUCACCAAGGCGACGAUCCGUAGCUGGUCUGAGAGGACGAUCAGCCACACUGGGACUGAGACACGGCCCAGACUCCUACGGGAGGCAGCAGUGGGGAAUAUUGGACAAUGGGCGCAAGCCUGAU
rnacentral:rRNA from 1 species